rnacentral:rRNA from 1 species
CUGCAGAAGGAUCAUUGCUAAAUGGAUCGAGCCUAGCGCCCGAGCGUAGAUAGAGCGAAAACGUUGACUAAAGAUAAUAAACCUUGCGCAUGGUAGGUGAGCCUAUCAAGUUUGAUUAAAGAAACCGUAACGAUGGAUGUCUAGGCUCCCGUAUCGAUGAAGAACGUAGCAGAAAGCGACAUGCGAUGAUACGCGCAUAGACCAGGAUUCCGCGGACUCGUGAAUCAUUGAAUCUUCGAACGCAUAUGGCGCUCAGCAGUAGAGCCGUAGCAGGCUGAGCAUGCCCUGGAGUAGUGACGAGAGCUGCCAUCGCUGUAGUACAUCAUGAUACAGCGUCGUGUCCGAUAUCCGAGAGGAGACAUCCGUCUCCCUGAGGACGGAUCAAAUACCGGACCCUACCCACAGAGGUGUAGGGAGAGGCUAGUUUCCCGCGCGGAUCGGUUAUCGAUCCGCGAGCGCACAAAGUCCUACCCACGAGCAGGAGAACCCGCUGAACUUAAGCAUAUCACUAAGCCGAGGAAAAGAACCAAACAAGA